UUCUACAGUCACAGUAACUGGAUUGAGCUGGGUAACACUGAGCCCUGCACUGCCCUCAUCAACCUAGAGGAAAACAUCCCCAACCCUGCAGAUGAAAACACUGACACGUGUGAUAACACCGCUCCCGAUACAAACACUGGGGCAAAACUGCUGGACACCGUUAUACAAAACAAGAUUCUGACUUCAGGAUACUUCGGGAAAACCAAAAAACCUGGAAAGUGCAGCCAUGGAGGAAAAUCAGACUUCACAACUGGCUUCAGGAAAAGCUGGAACGGCAUCAAUAAAGACGCCAUUGACUCAAGUCAUGGUUUACUGCAUAAUCAAGCGGCUGAAGUUGCCGUCGCUGCCACCGUGCAGCUGCUGGAGAAAAUCUGGAAGAGUAACAAUGAUGCCAGCUACUUCAGGCUGGUGGGGCUUCAUCAGGACAAGCCGAAGGGCGGUUGGAAAAGUCGCUUCUCUAUCUUCAGCUCCAAAUCAAGAGUUUCAGACGCAAGCGAGCAAAAAAUUGAAAACGCUGAUGCAUAAAGCUGAAAACAUCCUGUAUGCUCAUAUCAAUACUGUCAAAUAAAUCCUGCUGACUUGUUGCAUCAA